rnacentral:tRNA from 1 species
AGGGGUGUAGCUCAAUUGGUAGAGCAGUGGUCUCCAAAACCAAAGGUUGAGGGUUCAAGUCCUUUCACCCCUGCCA